AGGCGGCUCAGCCUGCAGCCUCAGGGGGUGUCUCGUUUCAUUGGAACCCCAGGUCUUUUUUAACAGUCGCUGAUGAAUUUUGCAUUAGCCUCAGGUAUAGAGUCACUUUUAGCUGACCUUUAUUAAGGGAGACUUUAAUGUUGCAUCGACAAUUAUGAAAGAAAAUGUAAUCCUCAAGCAACAGGCAGUGUGGCCGCUGGUAUAUCGUCCGAGGUGUAUCUGGGAGUUGUGUGGGCUUAAUGUCAUUCCACUGAGUCUACGUAGAUUCCAGUCGUGGUCCUGGAGCCAGGAGGACUUGGUAACUAGCAUUAGUUCAAGGAUGUCCUUCGGGCAGUGUGCUGUCAUAGGCCUGGACAGCUUCCAGUGGGAGGACCCCGGCCCUUAAGGCUACUGGCUGGUCCAUCUUGACUUUGUGGAGAUGAAAUCCUGGUACCUGUCCUGUUAGCCUCACAGGACAGUUAGAGGAGUAAGGUGAGGAGAUAGCUACUCUGUGAAAGUUUUUGUGCAUUUGGAGGGUAACUGAUUUUACAUUUUCUUUGACAUCUUGCAGUGGCAUAAAAUGCCUCUUUACACUCAAUUUGGCUAAGUUUUCCUUAUUCGAGUAAUUUUCACUUAUAAAGCGGUUACUACCUGUCAAAUCUGAGUGAAGAAAUUCUUAUUAGGUGAAGAAAUCUUUGUUUUGCCAAGCUCUUUAAAUUCCUUGAAAUUUAAUAUUCUAACCUAAAAUACCUUUCCCCCUAGUCUUAAGCAUUAGUGUCAGACACAAAAAAAGAGCAUAUAUUACACAAUUCCAUUUAUGUAAAGUUCAAUAUAGGCAAAGAAGACUAUAGUGCUAUGAAUCAGAAUAGUUGUUACUCUUGGGGGUGGGGUGGAAAGGGCACCAGGGGCAGGUCUGGGAUGCAGAUAAUGUCUUGAUCUGGGGGUUAGUUACAUGGGUAUGUUUGAUUUAUUAAAAACAAUCAAGCUGUACAUUUAUGAUUUGUAUGCUUUUGAUAUUUCUACUGGUAUUAGUAUUUAUCAUCUUGAUAGAAGAAAAGGAAUGCCCUGCCCUUGCCGGUGUGCCUCAGUGAUUGGAGCGUCGGCUCGCACAGUGAAGGGUCGCGGGUUUGAUUCCCAGUCAAGGGCAUGUACCUGGGUUGUGGGUUCAGUGCCUGGCAAGAGGCGGCCAAUCGAUGUGUCUGUCUGUCUCACAUCGAUGUUUCUCUCUCUCCCUCUCCUUCCUCCUCUCUACCUCUGAGCCAUUCUCUCUAAAUCAAUGGAAAAAAUACCCUUGGGUAAGGAUUAACAAAACAAAGAAAAGAAA